UGGGGAAUAUUGCACAAUGGGCGAAAGCCUGAUGCAGCGACGCCGCGUGAGGGGUGACGGCCUUCGGGUUGUAAACCUCUUUCAGUAGGGACGAAGCGCAAGUGACGGUACCUGCAGAAGAAGCACCGGCUAACUACGUGCCAGCAGCCGCGGUAAUACGUAGGGUGCGAGCGUUGUCCGGAAUUACUGGGCGUAAAGAGCUCGUAGGCGGUUUGUCACGUCGUCUGUGAAAUCCUAGGGCUUAACCCUGGACGUGCAGGCGAUACGGGCUGACUUGAGUACUACAGGGGAGACUGGAAUUUCUGGUGUAGCGGUGGAAUGCACAGAUAUCAGGAAGAACACCGAUGGCGAAGGCAGGUCUCUGGGUAGUAACUGACGCUGAGGAGCGAAAGCAUGGGUAGCGAACAGG
rnacentral:rRNA from 1 species